rfam:Catenaria anguillulae PL171 BCR44scaffold_494, whole genome shotgun sequence.
GCCCGGUUAGCUCAGUCGGUAGAGCGUGAGACUCUUAAUCUCAAUGUCGUGGGUUCGAGCCCCACACUGGGUA